rnacentral:rRNA from 1 species
GUCGAGAAUAAUUCACAAUGGACGAAAGUCUGAUGGUGCAACGCCGCGUGGAGGAUGACGGUCUUCGGAUUGUAAACUCCUGUCAUCCGGGAGUAAGACCUGGCUGUGAAUAGCAGACAGGGUUGAUAGUACCGGAAGAGGAAGGGACGGCUAACUUCGUGCCAGCAGCCGCGGUAAUACGAAGGUCCCGAGCGUUGUUCGGAAUCACUGGGCGUCAAGGGAGCGUAGGCGGCGUGGUAAGUCAGAUGUGAAAUCCCGGGGCUCAACCCCGGAACUGCAUCCGAUACUGCCGUGCUAGAGGAUUGGAGAGGUAGCUGGAAUUCUUGGUGUAGCAGUGAAAUGCGUGGAGAUCAAGAGGAACACUCGUGGCGAAAGCGAGCUACUGGACAAUAUCUGACGCUGAGGCUCGAAGGCCAGGGUAGCGAAAGGGAUUAGAUACCCUUGUAGUCC